rnacentral:rRNA from 1 species
CGGCAGCACAGUAAGAGCUUGCUCUUACGGGUGGCGAGUGGCGGACGGGUGAGGAAUGCAUCGGAAUCUACUCUGUCGUGGGGGAUAACGUAGGGAAACUUACGCUAAUACCGCAUACGACCUACGGGUGAAAGCAGGGGAUCUUCGGACCUUGCGCGAUUGAAUGAGCCGAUGCCCGAUUAGCUAGUUGGCGGGGUAAGAGCCCACCAAGGCGACGAUCGGUAGCUGGUCUGAGAGGAUGAUCAGCCACACUGGAACUGAGACACGGUCCAGACUCCUACGGGAGGCAGCAGUGGGGAAUAUUGGACAAUGGGCGCAAGCCUGAUCCAGCCAUACCGCGUGGGUGAAGAAGGCCUUCGGGUUGUAAAGCCCUUUUGUUGGGAAAGAAAAGCAGUCGGUUAAUACCCGAUUGUUCUGACGG